rnacentral:rRNA from 1 species
GACGAACGCUGGCGGCGUGCCUAAUACAUGCAAGUAGAACGCUGAAGGAGGAGCUUGCUUCUCUGGAUGAGUUGCGAACGGGUGAGUAACGCGUAGGUAACCUGCCUGGUAGCGGGGGAUAACUAUUGGAAACGAUAGCUAAUACCGCAUAAGAGUAGAUGUUGCAUGACAUUUGCUUAAAAGGUGCAAUUGCAUCACUACCAGAUGGACCUGCGUUGUAUUAGCUAGUUGGUGAGGUAACGGCUCACCAAGGCGACGAUACAUAGCCGACCUGAGAGGGUGAUCGGCCACACUGGGACUGAGACACGGCCCAGACUCCUACGGGAGGCAGCAGUAGGGAAUCUUCGGCAAUGGACGGAAGUCUGACCGAGCAACGCCGCGUGAGUGAAGAAGGUUUUCGGAUCGUAAAGCUCUGUUGUAAGAGAAGAACGAGUGUGAGAGUGGAAAGUUCACACUGUGACGGUAUCUUACCGGAAAGGGACGGCUAACUACGUGCCAGCAGCCGCGGUAAUACGUAGGUCCCGAGCGUUGUCCGGAUUUAUUGGGCGUAAAGCGAGCGCAGGCGGUUAGAUAAGUCUGAAGUUAAAGGCUGUGGCUUAACCAUAGUACGCUUUGGAAACUGUUUAACUUGAGUGCAAGAGGGGAGAGUGGAAUUCCAUGUGUAGCGGUGAAAUGCGUAGAUAUAUGGAGGAACACCGGUGGCGAAAGCGGCUCUCUGGGCUUGUAACUGACGCUGAGGCUCGAAAGCGUGGGGAGCAAACAGG